CCUUCGGUUGUAAGCACUUUAGGUUGGGAGGAAGGUAAGUAGUUAAGAGAUGACUUACUUGACUGUACCGACAGAAUAAGCACCGGCUAACUCUGUGC
rnacentral:rRNA from 1 species